rnacentral:lncRNA from 1 species
AGAGAGGUGUUUUCUGCAAAGACUGGUCUGGGAGAGAGGGGAGGGGACAGCUCGCGCUCUCUAAGGCUUUCUGGUGGGAACGAAAGGUUGAGCUUGAUGCCGCUGGCAGCAGAGAGAGGACACAGGGGCCUAAGAAGGGAGGCCUACUCUUAACAUCACCCAUCCAGCAGGAUACUCACUGUAAACAAUGGCUAACCCCACCCCCAUCUCCAGCUUCAGCCAGGUUUCUCCCAGUCCUUCAGCUGAGUGGUCGGGUGGGGCUUGAUCAAUGGCAGGACACCAGCGGAUCAAAUGGUGAUUAAUCUGAAAGCGAUAGGCCAGUAUCUACACAACCAUACCUCUGAGACCUCUGUGACUUUACCUCCAUGUGAUGUUGGGGUUGUGUGUAAUCUUCUCCCCUAAAGUACACAGUAACCCUGAGGGUAGAUGAAUACAGUACACAGUCCUAGGGGUUGUUUAUUAUGCUCAAUAUGCUUAUUACUCACUCACUCUCCGCCAGCUGUAUGCAAAUAUAAAACAUAUUGCCUUGGGUCUCUGUGGAGAACCUCACUACUCGCUCAGACUCACCAUAGGCCUUUAUCUGUAAUUAAACACACUAACUUCGUCUCUGGGGUUAUUGAUAUUGAUAUUUGUAUCAUGAAUAAAAAACGUGCUGUAAGGGAUUGCACUGCUGUUUCCUUUUGGCGGCUGUUUGUCUGUCAUUCUGAAAUUGUUUAAAUAACUUGAUUAUAUUAUGUAUCUUCAAUAAAUGUUAUGAGCUGAUAUUGGAUUAAUUGUCCACAUUCUCAGAAUGCUGUAUAGUAUUAUAUAUUAAGGUACUUAAAUAUGAUACCUCAUGAAUCAUGGAUUUGCUCAUGUAUAAUAGAUAUGCUCAUGUAUCAUGUAUUGCAGCAGACAUAGGCCCCCCU